AUGCUUCCCGAUCCAACUGUUCUUCUCAUCAUCGGAGCCGUUAUAGCAUUCAUUUUGGCGUUUGCUAUCGGUGCAAAUGACACGGCAAACUCGUUCGGAACUUCUGUUGGAAGCAAGGUGUUGACUCUUCAUCAAGCAUAUGUUUUGGCUAGUAUCUUCGAAACACUUGGAGCUUGUCUCCUUGGUCAUCAAGUGACAGACACUAUGCGCAAAGGUGUGAUCGACUUCUCAGAGUUUGGUAAACAUGAAAAUGGUACCGUUCUUAUGAGCGAAAAUGAUCUCGGCCAUACUAUCAUGUUGGGACAAAUCGCUAUCCUCACUGGAUGCGGUGUGUGGAUGUUGUUGGCGACUGCAUUCAAGCUGCCCGUAUCUACAACUCACUCAAUUGUUGGAGCCACGAUUGGAUUUGCUCUCGUUGCCCAAGGAUCUCGUGUCAUUGUGUGGGAGAAGAUUUACCGUAUCUUCUUCUCAUGGAUCAUUUCACCACUUCUCUCUGGAAUCGUUUCGGUUUUCAUCUACUUGUCGCUUGAUCAUUUGGUUUUGAGACGUGAACAACCUCUUCACAGUGGAAUUCGAGUUCUUCCUGCGCUCUACUUCAUCUGUUUCGCUUUCAACGUCUUCGCCAUUGUCUAUAAAGGACCUUCUUUCCUCUAUUUCGAUCGACUCAGUCUCACACAAUGUCUCAUCAUCUCUGGAGUGUUCGGAUUAGCGGUUGCUCUUAUCUUUGCGUUCUUCUUGGCACCGUAUCUCAAGGAUCACAUCCUGAGUAUGUUUAAGAAAUGGAGUAUGAGGUUAGCAAUUGUCGAUAAGGCACUGAAGAUAGUUUCCAGUGGCCUUAUCGUUGCAGUAUCAUUGAUUAAUAUUCUAAGAUUUUAUAUGAGUUUUCAGGUGGUAAAAUUAUUAGAAAAUUCUGCUGUCGAUAAAUUAUUUUCAUUUCAGGCAAAGAACUUCUUGAAAUAACUGGAAAACAGCGACACAGUCAUCACGGACAUAACGAAAAGAGCAGUUCAAAGCGAAAAGAAUUUGAAAUGGAAGAAGGAAAUGGAAAAUAUCUUGAAUCCGACAAUAACGGUCAACCUCUUCUCGAUCAACCAACUAUUGUAGUCAGUACAUGCCCAUCAAAUGGAGAAUCAACUUCAUCUUUCGCAAAGAAUACAAUUCGCCCGUCUUCCUCCCUUGCUUCAUUCUUCCGUUCCUGUAAACCAGAAGAUCCACAAGCUUCACGACUGUUUUCACUUCUUCAAGUGAUGACGGCCUGCUUCGGAGGAUUUGCUCAUGGAGGAAACGACGUGAGUAAUGCGAUUGCUCCACUUGUUUCGCUUUAUCUGAUUGCUAAUGACGGAAUGAAAUCGGCCGAUAUGGAAACACCAUGGUACCUUCUUCUCUACGGAUCCUUCGGAAUGUGUCUCGGUCUCUGGGUUCUCGGACAUCGUGUCAUCUACACUGUCGGAGAAAAUCUAACCAAGAUCACUCCAGCAUCUGGAUUCGCCGUCGAGUUUGGAGCUGCUGUCACUGUUCUGAUUGCUUCAAAGCUCGGACUUCCUAUCUCAUCAACACAAUGCAAAGUUGGAUCCGUCGUGGCAGUCGGUCUUGUUCAAUCCAGACAUCAAGUCCAUUGGGGAGUAUUCCGGAACAUCUCACUAUCCUGGAUAGUAACUCUUCCAGUUGCCGGUCUUCUUUCCGGUGGAACCAUGAUGAUUCUCCAUUUAUUCUCGUUCGGAACCGAUGCAACGCCCAAGGAUUCUAUCCUCCAGCUCUUCUUCUAA
rnacentral:misc_RNA from 1 species